rnacentral:rRNA from 1 species
AUUGGGACCAAGUGGAUCUUCAAGAACAAGCAAGAUGCCCAUGGGAACAUCAUUUGCAACAAGGCAAGAUUGGUAGCACAAGGCUACUCCCAAGUCGAGGGUAUCGACUACGGUGAAACCUUCGCUCCUGUUGCUCGUCUUGAAUCCAUUCGUUUGUUGAUUGCUUAUGCUUCCCAUCACAACUUUAAGUUGCAACAAAUGGAUGUGAAAAGUGCUUUUCUUAAUGGUCCCAUUAAUGAAUUGGUCUAUGUCAAGCAACCCCCCGGGUUCGAGGAUCUCUACCUUCCGGAUCACGUGUAUCAACUUGAUAAGGCACUCUAUGGCCUUAAACAAGCCCCACGUGCGUGGUAUGACCACCUUACCGAGUUGCUACAAGAUCGUGGUUUUGAAGUAGGGCUAAUCGACCCCACUCUUUUUACUAAGAAGGUAACCGUGGAGUUGUUUGUAUGCCAACUAUAUGUUGAUGAUAUUAUCUUUGGUUCCCCUAACAAAGCUUUCAAUGAAGAAUUUGCCGCUCUCAUGACCUCCAAGUUUAAGAUGUCUUCGAUGGGAGAGUUGAAGUUCUUUCUUGGUUUCGACAUCAAGCAAAGAAGAGAAGGAACCUUCAUCAACCAAGCCAAAUAUACUCAAGACAUGCUUAAAAGAUUCAAGCUAAGUGAUGUCAAGCCGGCUACUACACCAAUGCCUACCAAGUGCCAACUUGACAUCGAUCCCAAU